GUCUACGGCCAUACCACCCUGAGCACUCCCAAUCCCGUCUGAUCUUGGAAGCUAAGCAGGGUCGGCCCUGGUUAGUACUUGGAUGGGAGACCACCUAGGAAGACUGGGUGCUAUAGGUG
rnacentral:rRNA from 1 species